rnacentral:lncRNA from 1 species
UGGAGACCAGUCACUGACUUCAGAGUGCCUGUUUAUUAAAGAUGAAAGUAAUGUAUGCCUGGCUGAUCUGAACAGCUGUCAGAGAUUCGGCUGUUAGCAAAGGAAGUCACUAAUUUCGAGGUAUAAUCACUCAUCUAAGAGAGAGACGGCCCGCCUUCAUCUUCCGAGCGGAGCUGGGCUGUGUGGUCUCCACCAGGUGUGCAAGAGGAAAAGAGGCGGUGUUGAGCCACACAGAGAGUGGACUUGAUGUACCUUGUGUGUGCUUUGACAGGUGGGAGAAGCUGGCACCUUCCGAGGGAGGCAAUAAAUUAGAAGAGAGGUGGGGGGGUCUUCCAUUUUUCAUCCAAAUGUGCUGUGUGAUCUUCAGGAUAUUAAUCCCUUUCUUUUUUCUCUUUGCUCUUUUCAUUCAUUCAGUGAUAAACCCUGAAUAUUCUUCAAAGCCGAGUGAGCAAAUGGGUUACUCACCGCUGGGUUAUAAGGCAGGGCAGUGCCCACCACAGCGCUCCGGGAAGACUCACCAAGCAGGGGGCCUGUGGGGCAGGGAAGAGGCUGCUGGUGGCUGA